rnacentral:tRNA from 1 species
GCCUGGGGGGCUCAGUCAGUCGAGCAUCCGACUUCGGCUCGGGUCAUGAUCUCGCGGUUCGUGGGUUCGAGUCCCCCAUCGGGCU